AGAGUUUGAUCCUGGCUCAGGACGAACGCUGGCGGCGUGCCUAAUACAUGCAAGUCGAACGCUUCUUUUUCCACCGGAGCUUGCUCCACCGGGAAAAGAAGAGUGGCGAACGGGUGAGUAACACGUGGGUAACCUGCCCAUCAGAAGGGGAUAACACUUGGAAACAGGUGCUAAUACCGUAUAACAAUCAAAACCGCAUGGUUUUGAUUUGAAAGGCGCUUUCGGGUGUCGCUGAUGGAUGGACCCGCGGUGCAUUAGCUAGUUGGUGAGGUAACGGCUCACCAAGGCCACGAUGCAUAGCCGACCUGAGAGGGUGAUCGGCCACAUUGGGACUGAGACACGGCCCAAACUCCUACGGGAGGCAGCAGUAGGGAAUCUUCGGCAAUGGACGAAAGUCUGACCGAGCAACGCCGCGUGAGUGAAGAAGGUUUUCGGAUCGUAAAACUCUGUUGUUAGAGAAGAACAAGGAUGAGAGUAACUGUUCAUCCCUUGACGGUAUCUAACCAGAAAGCCACGGCUAACUACGUGCCAGCAGCCGCGGUAAUACGUAGGUGGCAAGCGUUGUCCGGAUUUAUUGGGCGUAAAGCGAGCGCAGGCGGUUUCUUAAGUCUGAUGUGAAAGCCCCCGGCUCAACCGGGGAGGGUCAUUGGAAACUGGGAGACUUGAGUGCAGAAGAGGAGAGUGGAAUUCCAUGUGUAGCGGUGAAAUGCGUAGAUAUAUGGAGGAACACCAGUGGCGAAGGCGGCUCUCUGGUCUGUAACUGACGCUGAGGCUCGAAAGCGUGGGGAGCAAACAGGAUUAGAUACCCUGGUAGUCCACGCCGUAAACGAUGAGUGCUAAGUGUUGGAGGGUUUCCGCCCUUCAGUGCUGCAGCU
rnacentral:rRNA from 1 species